UACGUAGGGGGCAAGCGUUGUCCGGAAUCAUUGGGCGUAAAGCGCGUGUAGGCGGUUCGAUAAGUCUGCUGUGAAAGUCCAGGGCUCAACCCUGGGAUGCCGGUCGAUACUGCCGGACUAGAGUUCGGAAGAGGCGAGUGGAAUUCCCGGUGUAGCGGUGAAAUGCGCAGAUAUCGGGGAGGAACACCUAUGGGCGAAGGCAGCUCGCU
rnacentral:rRNA from 1 species